AAACUCGCUUAGAUGAGUGUCUUUCCUAACUCGAACUCCGCUCAUUCAUUCAACAAGGCUAGCACGAGCUAGCAUAUUGUCCACCUUCUGGUGCCUCUUCGCGCGCUACCGCGGCAUAUUCAAGCAGCCGACCGGCUGAGAACGCCGAACUUGCGGUUUUCCGGUGACGGCUCUGCGUUGACGUUUUCAUCGCGUGGCAAACUUAGGGUUUGGUUUCUCAUUUCGCUUAUAAGCAAUCUGCUCCUUGAAUUCUUUCUUGCAAUUCUUUGCCUUUUCGUUCUUUCUUCCAGAUACGACUUUGGUUUGCUCGAUCGUUUCUGUUUAACGACCGAUUCUCUAACCAAAGUGCAAAAAUGUCGAUAUGGUAUCCAGAAAGGCGUUAACGUCAUCGAAUUACAAAAAGAAGCGAAGUCUGGUCGCUUCGCCUCCGCGAACGGGUAUAGAGAUUAAAGCUUCUAACUUACGAUUGUCUCGCCUCGAACGCAGUUGUGCAUUGGAGACACAGCGUGAGUUGUUAAUCCCCUGUCCUAGUACUAAACCUUUCCAAGACCAAGGAAGACUCGGGCAACAGAAUGACAUGGUUUAGACUUGAUUUAAAGUCUUCAACUUGACGCCAUAUUCCCCUCCUAGCACUUGCUCAACAUGUUGGAGUUGGGAUAAUUAUACUAGGCAAUGCAAUCGUUUGACUGAAUUGGUCUUUCUUUUUAUGUACUUUUUGAUUGGAAGGUAACAUGGAUGAAUUUCAGUUAAGUUGUUGAAAAGUAGUUUCUGGCGCCUAAUGCUGAAGGUUAAGAACGAGGCUCGAAUGAUUGUUAUCGUGGUGAAACACGAAGUAGUUAUCGUGAAGUCUUCGUUUUUUCGAACUGUGAGAGUGCCUGGACCACCAAGCGUUACCAGGAAAAUACUACGGAGAAAGCUCAGGCAAUGAAGUGGCAAGGUUGGGUUUUAAUCUAGGGUAUUCAACUUCACACCCUUACGUUCUCCUCUUACGUUCUGUUCACCAGCUUCAUGGAAGACUUCGUAGUGGGAAUUUGGACCAAUGACUACUAAGAAAUUCAGAUAUUAUACAUUCAUGCAGCCCUGUGCAAAGAAGUAACAUCUGGAGACACUUUUGAUGUUCAAUCUCCCAUUGAGAAUGUAAAUCUCCUUAGGUAGCUUGAUUGUUUCCAAUAUCAUAUAGCAUCCAAUGGCAUUUCAAAUUGUUGCACAUUGGAACUCCUGAUGCAAUUUACUGAUCUGAUUCAGCUAGUGUUUCCAAAUUUUGAAUUCAAGCUGGUCUAUCUGUUUUGUUCUGCAAAAUGUUGUUUUCAUUCUGUUCAACCCCUUACGAAACAUAGGAUUCACUUGAUCCUGUGUAAACAAGAAAAGUAACAUCUGGAGGCCUCUUUGACAAUCAAUCUUCCCAUCGAAAACAAAAUUCUUCUUAGGUAGUUUGCAUUGUGAUGUAGCAUCCACAACAUUCCACAUUGCUGCAAACUGACUCCUAAUGCAAUCUACUGAUCAGAUUCAUCCAAAUGUUUCCAAAAAUUUGAAGAAUGGUUACAAGCUCUUCUAUUUGUUUUCACUUUUCAACCCUUAUGGAACUUUCACGCAUGUCAGAUAUUACAGUUGAAGAGUUAGUUCUUGCAAAUCAAACUUAUAAACUGUGCAUGCACAUUGAAAAUUUUGAAAAAGUGUGACAGGAAAAAAAAAACAAAAACAAAAAUUUCAGUCACCAUAUACAGACCAGAAAAUGCCAUCCGCAACAUAACUCAAGGCACUUCAUCCUUGAUUCACAGUUAAUUUUAAACAGUUUUACAUUUAAAAUUUUUAUUCAUCCUAUGUUCCCAAGAAUAACCAAUCUGAAGAAAAAGAAACAAAGCUUGUGACAAGAAACUUGCAAAGAAAUGGCGUUGGAUGAUUCUUUCAAGUCUUUGACUAUGGUGCAAUAUGCAUCAGAUCAGUAGUCAUUUUGCUGCCUCAACAUGCAUUGUUGUUGUUGUUUCUAAUUUUUAUCAACAGUGUUCAUACAACCAUCUGUUUGAUAUGUUCAUGAUGGAAAACUAUAAAGAUUUACCAUGGGUAAUGAGAUCUGGUCAAAAAUGUCAUCUGCAAAAUAAUAUAUAUAAUUUUCGAUAUGAUUAGCUUUGGUAGUUUUCGUCGUUCAUAUGGAUCUGUUCGUGGAAUUGAUUACAGUUGUAAAAUGUGUUUUUUCUUUUUACAUUUUUUGCUUGUAGAAUGCUGUCAGAACAAUGACCUUAUGAUGUCAUUCUGGUAUUUGUUACCGUGUUAAAAGGGCAUAUUCUGCUUCACUUAAUUUUAUGUUGCUAAAUUAAUGGUUUCAAAUUUGUCAAGUUUAGGUUGUAGGUUUUCUUGACUUGUUUAUUUUAUGAUUUGAGCAACCAUGCGUUCUCAUGUGAGCAAUGGCCUUCUUGUUUGUUGAUCUAUCAGUUUGAUUAAGCCCCUUUACUGCAUACUUGUGUGUCUAUGUGCUAAGGACAAUGUAGCUGUCUUUAUAUGUUCACUAGGCAUCAUUUAAACAUUUUUUGUGUUCUUAGUUAUUUUUGCAUCUUUGGCCUACUUGCAGUCAUAGUGGGGUGCACCCUCCAGUAAUGGCCUUUCAUCUUGCGUCUAUGAACUAAAGGUUUUAGGAGGGAAAAGAGAUAGAUGGUCAAUUUUCCAGGAGACAUAUUACUUGAAUGAAUCUCUAGUUUAUGGAUUUACAUUAUCCAAAGUAUUCUUGAAUUUCUUCUCAAACCCUGAGCUUGGAUUGAAUUGGUAUUAUUGGAACCUUAAACAUGCAGCACGAUGAAGCAUGAUAUUGCUGCUUUUGACUAUUUGAAAAGGUUAGAUUUCCUUUGUCUAAUUCAUAUGUUGUUUACCUGGGUUUUAAUCCCAUUCCCAGCCUCGAACGUGGUUUGAUUCAUUAGGAUGCGUCUACUCUUUUUGUCCAGCAUUUCAUGGCAUGGUCAUAUUUUCUUCACAGAAGCACUCUCAUCAAAAUGGCAAUCAUUUGUUCCUUCAUUAUGGGGAACGAAAGAGUUCCUCCAUUGAUGCCUUGCAGUGAAAUAAUGACAUCAUUAUUGAAGAUAUUUCAAUCUAGGUACUUUUGAAUGCCAGCUUAUCUUUACUGUUGCUGCUACUUUGGUGUGCUGGAUGAAAUCUUCCCAUGUUACAUGUUUCACAGUUUGCAGGAAAUAUCCUGUUCCAAAAAAUGAUUUACCUUUUACAGCAGGAGUAAAGGACUCUCCUGGCAAUCUACAUAUCAUAUAUUCGACUGGUACAAUCUAACCACACUGCCACUCUAUUUCAAAAGCAACCUUGUCACAUGAGCCAUACUCGUCAUACCACCUAUAGUUUUCCUCCCACAAGUAAGGUACAAUGAGAUUGGCUAUCUUGAAGAUAUUCUUGCUAUAUAUGACAAAAUUUGUGCCAUAAGCUACUGUUGCAGUAUGCCUAAGCCCCAGCUUUCCAGAUGCUUAUUUCUCUCCUGAGUCGUAUGUGAUCUAUGUAAGCAGCAAUCCUCAACAGUUUCUCCUAAAUAUUUUACUUUGUCCAGAUAUUAUAGCCCUAAGCCCUCAGUUCCCUUAUUUUGUCCAGCAGCAUAUUUUGAAAUCUCAAAGAGUACCUGAAGUUUGGAUUAUGUUCUUCUUGAUUUAUUGCCUAGAGUUAUGUAUCUUCUGAAAUUGAAUGUUAGGAAAAUUAUACUGGAAUUCAAUGAUUUCACAUACUGCAUUGUUGUGGAAACAGCAUAUUCCACAUUAUUUCCCUAUACAUCACAGUUGAAAAAGCCUCUUAUAGUACCUCAAGAUUAGAUCAUUUUUUUUCGUACUUAUUUGUGGAGCUCUAAAUGUUAGGAAUGAGGCCUUCUAUCUAUCUCACUCACGACACUAAGAAAAAAAACAGAGGACGAGGAGGAAGUAGAAGACACAAGGAUUUUUACAUAAUUAGGAAACAGAGUUCUCCUAUGUCCACAGCCGCACAGGGUUUUUCACUAUCCCAGAAGGAUUGAAGAAUACAAGGAAAAAAUACCGCCCCCUCUUAAACAUGGGGAUUAGAGGAAACCCGUAAAAGGAAAAAUUACAUGAAUGCCGUUACAAAAAAAAUUCUCAGAAAUUAGGGAAGCCUAUUAAGUAUAGAUUAGGCUCCAGACUCCAACACUACAUUAUGACCACUAUGAGGAUUGUGAAUGUAGAAAGCAGAGGAUACAUUUUUGAGGGUUUAGAAGACUAUAUUUUACAAGUAAUACAACCAUAUUUGGGACAUAUGUGAAGAUUAUGUUAUCUGGAAAGGUCUUCUCAUUUUUCUUCUGCAAUUGAGUUUUCUGCGUCCUUGACCUGCUUCAUAAAAGCAAUCAGGAUAAUCACACUGAAGAUGUAUUCUAGAUCCAGAUUUACAUUAUGUUCUAAACUUCAGUGCUGAGGAUGUGAGAAAUAGGUUUUCGCUUUUUGUGACUUUAUAGGUGCUUUAACCUUUAUAGUUGGCUCAAGCUCCUCUUUCCUUCUGUUCUUGUCUUCUCUUUGAUGUGGAAAGUUCGUUUUAAUUUUCCUUCAGUGCGCUUCAUAUGUGUGGUAUGGUGACACAGAGGACACAUAUAAAGAUGGGGAUCAGCACUUCCGCUCCAGACCUGGUGUGUCUCCUGAUAGGAAGACCUAGUAAGAAGACAAAUGACCAAUUCUCUCUUUGUCUCUCUCUCUCUCUCUCUCUCAAAUUCCUUGGUUACUGAAAAGUCUGAUAUUCUUGGUCAAAACAACAUCCUCUGGAUCCACUUCCAAACGGCAAAUUGGGCAAGUAAAGUGCAACGCUAGCCAUUUCCUGAUGCAUUCUCUGUGGAAAAUGUGACCACAAUCAGACUGGGGCAUUGACUGAUCUGCAAACAUCUGCAUGGUGCUGCCGUUGCAAAGCCUCGUGUAGAGGCAAACGAGAAAACCAAAUGAAAGUAUAAUUGCUAGGAUACCAAUUCCAAGUGCUAUGACUGGACGAAUUGGUA